rnacentral:rRNA from 1 species
UACGGGGGGGGCAAGCGUUGUUCGGAAUUACUGGGCGUAAAGGGUGCGUAGGCGGCUUUCUAAGUUGGAUGUGAAAACUCUGGGCUCAACCCAGAGCCUGCAUCCAAAACUGGAGAGCUAGGGUUCUGGAGGGGAAAGCGGAAUUCCUGGUGUAGCGGUGAAAUGCGUAGAUAUCUGGAGGAACACCGGUGGCGAAGGCGGCAUCCUGGACCAACACUGACACUGAGGAGCGAAAGCCAGGGGAGCAAACGGG